UGUAGCUCACUGGUAGAGCACUUGCCUAGCACGUGUGAGGCCCUGGGUUCGAUCCCCAGCA
rnacentral:tRNA from 1 species